UGCUUACCACCUCAUUUGCAAGUCUCU
rnacentral:piRNA from 1 species